ACAAAAAAAAAAAAAAAAAAGUUGAAAAAGGUGCCGACCGACAACUAGGAUUAAGAGGUGAUACUGAUAAUGAGAAUUGAGACGCUUAAAAGAGCAGAGGACAACACAUACUGCUCCGCCAGCUAAUACAUGAUGAACAACGACAAGGGAAAAAUUAUCAUAGUCACCCCUCGUAAUAUUAUUAUUUGAUGUACAAAAGUAAAAAAUCUAUUUGUGGGGUUUAAGCGGUUGGUGGCUUUUUUACAGCGGAGACGCCAAGUGACUGAGAGAGAGGGAAAGCAAAGUAGACAACAGACAGGCGGUGAUGGUAAGCACGCAGCAGAUUAAAAACGACUUUAUACCAAACUCAACCAGACCAAAGGGACCUGCAUCCCAUCAAUUGACAUCAUUUGCCAUCCACCACCUUCUAUUCUCUCUAUCUCAACACCUUAUGCCUUCAUCACUUGUUUGGCAGAUUAGAAAAUCGACAAAUAAAGACAUGAAAGAUGCCUAUUUUAUAUAUAUAUACACACUUAGCCCUUAACUCGUAAUCUCACUGAAGCACCUCUAAUAGUAUUCAAGGUUUGUAAGUUUGAAGUCAAUUCUGAUACUACUAGAGAACUAACCAUGCAAAUUGGGGAAAGGGUCCGCAUUCUUCAAAUAUUAACAUCCAUCAAAUCUCACAUAUUCAUUUAGUAGAAUAAAAACCAUGCAAAUCAAAAAAAUAUGCUCCAAGUAGUAGUGGUAAUAGUCGUACCAUACUCUAUCUUCAGUUCUUCACUAGUUUAAACAUUGAUAAUAAGUAACAAAAUUUGGCUGUCAUCCAAACAAAACAUAGCGAGAAAAAACCCAAAUUUUCAUCAUAUCAGCCGAAAAAAAAAACCACUAAAGGUGAACGAGUAUUCUUUCUCUAGAAAACCAUGAUGAUAACAAACCCCAAAAACUAGUUAAAUUCAUCAUGCAUCUAACAAGUCAGUCUCUCUUGCUCACUAGCUUCCCCUAAUUGCAGUAGACUCCACACUCUCCCCAAACUUAAUGAACCACACUGUACAAAACAUCAAGAACAAAUACCUAUAUACAAAAUCAACAACAACCAAACACAGUCUAAUUACUAAUUUUACCUCUUAGAAAAAAAUUAGUAAAGGCACUUCUUUAAGGACUCGAAGAGGAAGCCUCCUGUCUUGGUUCUCUCAAGUACCCAAGAAGGGUCUCAGCCUGCCACAAUAACAUUCAAACACCAUGAUAAGCAACAAGAAAUAGCUCUUCUUUAUGAGAAAAUGCCAACUUAAACAAGGUCGCUAAAUAACCCAAAUAACUAAAGACUAAACAAUUAAAACUACAACUCAAACACAGUUCAAGAAUUUCAAAUUAAUGGUAUUUAAAUUUGAUAUUGCGCUACAAAUCGCAUUCUUUCAAGAAUAUAAUAGAAUCAAGUAGUUCUUGAUAAUGAGAUGUGAUGUACAAACCUUAUGCUUAGCACGAACACUCCCAGUCUGUGAAAGAGCAACAAGAGGAGGAAUCCCACCUUCCCUCACAAGCAACCCACGAUUCCUCACACUAUCAGCACACAAUUGCAACAGUGUAAGCACCGCAAAUUCCUUUCCUUUAACAGACCCAUCUUCUAUGGCUUCCACAAGCGCUGCAAUCCCUGCUUCCUCCACAAUAGCCUCUCUCCCUUCCUCAAUUGCUGCCAAGCUACUCAGCACCACCAUCGCCUUCUCAGCCAUCCCCACACCCUGCUCCGCCACCAUCCCCACCAGCGGCUUUACAGCCCCAGCACUCACAGCUCUCUCCUUAUUGUGUUUAAUGGAGCAAAGUUUGUACAGGGUAGUUAAAGCAUCCUUCUUUCCUCUAGUGGAUCCAUUAAUUAACAGAGAAACCAAUGGCGGUAUCGCCCCACAUGCACCAAUCGAGCUCUUGUUCUCUUCAACCAAUGCGAGACUAAGCAAAGCACAAGCUGCGUUUUGCUUCGAAGUUUCGGUUCCUGUUUUGAGUACAUAAACCAAAGAUUUUAUAGCUCCAUUGUUCGUAAUCAAACACUUGUUUUCUUCAAGGAGGGAGAGAUUCAACAGAGCUGUUACUGCAUGUUCCUGCGUCCACGGAUCGCUGCAUCGGAGAAGCGGAAUUAGGGCCGGAAUAGCACCCGAUUCGCCUAUUAAUGCCCGGUUAUCAGACCGGUUCUUCGCCAAAAGUCGAAGUUUCGCUGCCGCCGAUCUCUUCACAGCAACCGACGGCGAUUGUAGCCCAUCCACGCAGAUCUUGACUGUCGGUUGGAGAUCUUCCGGCGAAAUACUCUCGAUUAUUUCCGUCGAGAAGUUCUCCCUCUGUAGAAACCCUAAACAAGGCUCAGGCUCAGGCUCCGCAGAUUCACAGCCAUCGUUUUUAGGUGCGUUUUCAGGGGAUGGUAAACUAGCAAGACGCUGCAAUUCCCCCGAGAUAUCACUGCUACAAGCCGAGAAAUCGCUGAAAGCUUGAGAGAUAUCAAGGAAUUCCUCGUCGUUAUUGGAAGAAGCUUUGCCACACUUGUCAUUACUAUUGUUAUUCCGAGACGCAAGCUCCCCAAGACGCAUGUCGAUGACAGAUUCAGUUAAAUUUUCCGAUACAUAAGCCGAGUUGUCGGUGGCAGUAGUAAAAGAACAGCAGCUGCCGUCAUUCUGGUAGAGAUUGGAGCGUAUCGUGCGCAUGGAACGGCCGACAUGCCGGCUGAUUUUGGUAGCGGAAGCAGAGGAUGGGUUAUAAAAAUUAUUGUUUCGGGUUAAAGGGAAGCGAUUUGAACUGGAAUGCGAAUCUUCCAAAGAAACCAUUUUUCGCAAACUAAAUUUGGUUUUGGAGAAAACGAAACCGUUUUCUGAAACUGGUUCUCGGCGAUUCGAUUUCAAGAGAAUUUCAUGGUUUGUGCAUGAAAGAGAGGGAGAAAGGGAGACACAGGGCGUUGCAGAAGAAGACGAGAGACGGUUUUAUGGCCAAUGGAUCGGCUGGCAUUGCUGGCCUGGUGG
rnacentral:misc_RNA from 1 species